rnacentral:rRNA from 1 species
GUGGGGAAUAUUGGACAAUGGGCGCAAGCCUGAUCCAGCCAUGCCGCGUGAGUGAUGAAGGCCUUAGGGUUGUAAAGCUCUUUUGUCCGGGAAGAUAAUGACUGUACCGGAAGAAUAAGCCCCGGCUAACUUCGUGCCAGCAGCCGCGGUAAUACGAAGGGGGCUAGCGUUGUUCGGAAUCACUGGGCGUAAAGCGCACGUAGGCGGACCAUUAAGUCAGGGGUGAAAGCCUGGAGCUCAACUCCAGAACUGCCUUUGAUACUGAUGGUCUCGAGUUCGGAAGAGGUUGGUGGAACUGCGAGUGUAGAGGUGAAAUUCGUAGAUAUUCGCAAGAACACCAGUGGCGAAGGCGGCCAACUGGUCCGAUACUGACGCUGAGGUGCGAAAGCGUGGGGAGCAAACAGGAUUAGAAACCCCAGUAGUCC